rnacentral:lncRNA from 1 species
CUUUGAUUGAGCAUGCAAUGUCCCCAUGGAAAGCACUUAGCCAGAGCCCCCGGGAACUUUAGGAGCCAGGGCAGUGGGAGACAGCAUAAUGCAUGCCCCCAGAGGGCAGUUACAGAGGGAUAAUUAUGUACCUGAAUAUCUGCUGAGGGCAAGACAGAAGCUUCCAGCCAUGGACUGUGAUGGUCUUGUGACCUGGAGGAGGGAGACAGAGGAUCCAGUAAAGAGGCACCUGGGUGGUAUCAAGCUCUCAGUCACCCCUUCAGUCCAAGGUAUCAUCUUCUCUGCCCAUUUGCCAUAACAAAGACAUCACCAACUGAGCGAGGGCCACAGGAUCCUGACUCGAUUGGGUCACAGCAUCUUCUGAUUGUCCACUAUGAGCUCCCCAGCACAGCCAGGUCAGUCAUUUUGGACACAGUAAAAUCAUUUAUUGGAAAUGCAUUACUUUGUUACUGAUGUACUUUG